rnacentral:rRNA from 1 species
CCUACGGGAGGCAGCAGUGGGGAAUAUUGGGCAAUGGGCGCAAGCCUGACCCAGCAACGCCGCGUGAAGGAAGAAGGCUUUCGGGUUGUAAACUUCUUUUAAGAGGGAAGAGCAGAAGACGGUACCUCUUGAAUAAGCCCCGGCUAACUACGUGCCAGCAGCCGCGGUAAUACGUAGGUGGCAAGCGUUGUCCGGAUUUACUGGGUGGAAAGGGCGUGCAGCCGGGAAGACAAGUCAGAUGUGAAAUCCCGCGGCUCAACCGCGGAACUGCAUUUGAAACUGUUUUUCUUGAGUACCGGAGAGGUCAUCGGAAUUCCUUGUGUAGCGGUGAAAUGCGUAGAUAUAAGGAAGAACACCAGUGGCGAAGGCGGAUGACUGGACGGCAACUGACGGUGAGGCGCGAACGCGUGGGGAGCAAACAGGAUUAGAUACCCUGGUAGUC